rnacentral:rRNA from 1 species
CCUACGGGAGGCAGCAGUGAGGAAUAUUGGUCAAUGGGCGCGAGCCUGAACCAGCCAAGUAGCGUGAAGGAUGACUGCCCUACGGGUUGUAAACUUCUUUUAUAAAGGAAUAAAGUGAGGCACGUGUGCCUUUUUGUAUGUACUUUAUGAAUAAGGAUCGGCUAACUCCGUGCCAGCAGCCGCGGUAAUACGGAGGAUCCGAGCGUUAUCCGGAUUUAUUGGGUUUAAAGGGAGCGUAGAUGGGUUGUUAAGUCAGUUGUGAAAGUUUGCGGCUCAACCGUAAAAUUGCAAUUGAUACUGGCAGUCUUGAGUACAGUUGAGGUAGGCGGAAUUCGUGGUGUAGCGGUGAAAUGCUUAGAUAUCACGAAGAACUCCGAUUGCGAAGGCAGCUUACCAAUCUAUAUCUGACGUUGAGGCACGAAAGCGUGGGUAGCAAACAGGAUUAGAUACCCGGGUAGUC